ensembl:lncRNA
AAAAAAGAAAAAAGAAGAGACAGCGGUAUGAUGCUCGCGCGUCGCUUGCAGAUUUUGGGAGAGAGUGCUACCAGCAAAGACGGGGCAGGUGCAACUGCCACUUCAGAUCCUGAAGGUGAUGGAGAUGUACUGUAGACAUCUCUACAAUGGACCCUGAGCCAGAAGUGGUCCAUCGUGGAUCACAGUGCAACAUAAGAUGUUUACAUCGUUCAUUAGCUGUUCAGGUAAAGCCUCAGAUGGUGGAUGUGGGGACUCAAACCGAAAGGUUUGAGCAUCGCAGAUCAACUCCACUGGCCAGUCCUGAACAAAGUGAUGAUGAAUGGUCAUUUUCUGAUAUCAUCAACCAUUCUGGUGAUAUGUCAUGGAGUCCAGGGGAGGAGAUGUUGAGCGGG